rnacentral:rRNA from 1 species
GAUGAACGCUGGCGGCGUGCCUAAUACAUGCAAGUCGAGCGAACAGGCGUGGUGCUUGCUCCUCUGGCGUUAGCGGCGGACGGGUGAGUAACACGUGGAUAACCUUCCUAUAAGAGUGGGAUAACUUCGGGAAACCGGAGCUAAUACCGGAUAAUAUACUAAACCGCAUGGUUCCGUAGUGAAAGGCGGUUUUGCUGCACCUAGUGGAUGGAUCUGCGCGGCUUGAGCUGGUUGGUAAGGUACCGGCAUACCAAGGGAACGAUGCUUAGCGGACCGGAAAGGGGUGUGGGCCACAUGGGAAGUGAGACACGGCCCAGACACCUGCGGUGGGCAGCGGUAGGGAAUCUUCCGCAAGGGGGCAACGCCGAACGGGGCAACGCGGGUGAAUGGAUGAAGGUGUUCGGAUGUGAAAACUCUGUUUGUAGGGAGGAAGAAAGGUGUAAUUAACAGUGCACAUUGUGACGGUACCUUAUCAGAAAGGCACGGCUAACUACGUG